CCCAGCUCCACCAGGCUGUGAGGGUACCCUGGCUCAGCCGUGACCUCCCUGAACACCCAGUACUUAUCACCUGGAACCAGUUUGAAGAAGAGAAGGCGAGCGUGCAGAGAGCAGGACAGAGCCUCACAACGCUGAAGCAGAUGGCAGGCAGAGAUUCUGGAGAAUCUUUCAGCUUAUCAGCGACCCUGUUUAAAAGUGAUGACUGAAGAUUUUCUCCUGUUUUUGUCACAAUGGGAACGAAUCCAGCAGAGCAGACGCAGACAGACAGACGGACAGAAAACAGAGAGACACUCAUUGACAGGCAGGAAGGACAGAGAGCUAGACGAGCCUGUGACCUUUACAAACAUUCGGUUUAAAUAUCAAAGACAUCAAAAUGGAUUUUUCUUCUUCUGCUCAGGAUGAGAUUCUUUCUCAAAAACAGAGGUGGGGCUAGCUGGCUAACUGUAGGCUGUAAAAACAAUAGGUGAGAUCCAGGGAAGGGAUUUUUGUUUAAGCCAAAGAAGUGUUACAAGCUUUACAAGUUUCACAAGACAAAAGUUAACGACUGGUUGGUGUGACAUUACUCUGCACUGUCCAGUAUAAGGCAAAGAGUUCGAGGCUGCAGUGGCAGCAGAUAAGCCAAGCUAGGCUAGCUAGCCUUUAGCAGUGCUGGUGGUGAUGAGUUUUCUGAGGAAUAAAAAAAACUGGAUUCGUUGCUUGUGUCAUAUCAAAUUGUUAUUUUUUAAGCUACUGGGGUAUCACAUUAAAUCUUGUUGUAAAAUUAGCUUUAGCACCCAAACCUGCAGUUCCACUAAUGUCCACUUGAGGCUGUCUCCAAAAAUGAGUCAGUCCUCAUUGACUCCCACAUUAAAAUGAUCCCUGCUACAAAAAUAAUAUGAGUCUCUAUGGGCUAGCAUCCUGUUUAUACAAACUGUACAGGUGGUAAAAUGUUUAUAACUCACGUUUAAAAACUAUAUUAAGAAUUAAAAUUAGUCUCACGAUUUAAACUCAUUUCAAAAGCAGUUAAGUGACUAAAAAAUUAAUCUUACUUUGUACUUAACUGCACAAACAGACCUUCCACUUCCUAAUAUUUUAUUUAUAUGCUGCAUCGCACUGAUGUGCAGGUAUCUGUGUGUGUUGCUAGGCAAGCUUGCUGGUAUUAGCUCAUCUAUCUACAGUCUUUGGCCUGUUGGGUGCUUUGAAUAUCUAAGCAUUUAAAAUAUAUAUUUAAAUAAAGCCAUAAAGUUUAUACAUGCUACAUGCUGUAAAUGUACACGCCUACUGUGUGCUGGCAUGCGAGCGCCUACAGAGCUGCAUCGGUGGGGUACUAACUGUACUGGAAGCAUAUGGCUGAUGCUAAUGAUCAUUGGCUGGAUAGCACCAUAUGCCACUGGGCUGCUUCUUUCAUCUCACGGUACCACGAGAGAGCUCGUAUUUAGCACCAGCAGCCCCGCGGUGGCAUCCAAACCCAUAAUGUUGGCAGUGUUAAAGCCGUCAUUACCUUCCUAACCACUAAUCUGGACCACGCCAUCCAAACCUGCCUUUAUGGAUAAUGAUUAUGAGAAAUAAACUUCAUCUAUACUUCCAACUUCAUUCCUACUCUGCAUCCUCCUGCCGUAAUGUUCAAUUAAGCUUUAUCUAAAUCCCCCAGUGACACCCUGUUUUUUAUAGCAACCCACGGCUGUGUGACUCACCGUCUGUAGGAGAUAACAGCCGUUAAUUACAGACACAACAGCAUCCUGUUCAAUAAGCUCGUGUUGGAACAAGCACUCAGGUUCUUUAACAGGAUGAGAUACCAAAGAAUUUUAUUGGUUUGAUGCAUUUAAACAUUUCUUAUUUAGACGUUUUAAUGAUGUUGUUAUUUGAU